rnacentral:miRNA from 1 species
UGCGCAAAAAGAAUAUUAAUCGA